rnacentral:rRNA from 1 species
CCUACGGGAGGCAGCAGUGAGGAAUAUUGGUCAAUGGACGAGAGCCUGAACCAGCCAAGUAGCGUGAAGGAUGACGGCCCGAUGGGUUGUAAACUUCUUUUAUAUGGGAAUAAAAUGUUCCACGUGUGGGAUUUUGUAUGUACCAUAUGAAUAAGGAUCGGCUAACUCCGUGCCAGCAGCCGCGGUAAUACGGAGGAUCCGAGCGUUAUCCGGAUUUAUUGGGUUUAAAGGGAGCGUAGGUGGGUUGUUAAGUCAGUUGUGAAAGUUUGCGGCUCAACCGUAAAAUUGCAGUUGAAACUGGCAGUCUUGAGUACAGUAGAGGUGGGCGGAAUUCGUGGUGUAGCGGUGAAAUGCUUAGAUAUCACGAAGAACUCCGAUUGCGAAGGCAGCUCACUGGACUGCAACUGACACUGAGGCUCGAAAGUGUGGGUAUCAAACAGGAUUAGAUACCCUUGUAGUC